rnacentral:rRNA from 1 species
UACGAAGGGUGCAAACGUUGCUCGGAAUUAUUGGGCGUAAAGCGCACGUAGGCGGCUUGGCAAGUCGGAUGUGAAAUCCCUCGGCUCAACCAAGGAAGUGCAUCCGAAACUGCCGAGCUUGAGUACUUAAGAGGAUCGCGGAAUUCCCGGUGUAGAGGUGAAAUUCGUAGAUAUCAGGAGGAACACCGGUGGCGAAGGCGGCUUUCUGGACAGAUACCGACGCUGAGGCACGAAAGCUAGGGGAGCAAACAGG